rnacentral:lncRNA from 1 species
GAAAGAGAAAAUGACUCAGUUUCCAACCUAAAGAACGAUAACAAGACCCCGAAAGGAGACUUCAUGUCGACAUCCGUUUUCAGCUCACCUCCACCGGCCUGAGCUCUGUUAGCAAAGGUCACCGAUCGUCCUACAAGUGGGAAGGUGACACGCUGUCUGUCCACAGCCGGCCUGGGAAGGGGAGGGCUGCGAGGAGAGUGGUGUCUGAGGGGGCCUGACCCUCCCCGGGCAGACUGGGCCCAGCACAUGACACCUGCAGCGUCCGGUCACCUGCCCGGAGCUCCAUCAACAGGAUCUUCAAAGCCAUUUCAGGGGGAACCGCCUCGUUCCAGCCGGAGCACCCCAGAUGUCUACCCGGUGACUGCCUUCCCCCGGGAAUCCUGGAGCAAGCUUCAUGGAAAAAUCCCAUCAGAGCGUGAGAGUUUCCGCCUUUCAUCCCACACAGGGCGACUCAGCCUCCUGCUCCUACGCACGUCCUGGAAAUCAUUCAGUGGCGGGAGGAGGAGUGAGCCCCGUGAGGGGAGGAUUGUCCUCCAAACCGCCCCCACCCCGCGACUCCGGGCCACCCCACAAGGGUUCACUGAGCACCAGCUGUGCACCCGGCUCUGCUGCGCAGGCGGCCACGGCCCUGCCUCCCGGAACGUGGCAGGAUUCCCCAUCAAGUGCAUUUCGGACACGACCCAGCUCGGUACUGCCGCUCCUCCUGCUCUGCUGCCAGCACGGAGGAUUUUGUCUGCCGCAGAUCUUAGUAGAAACCAGUGAUGGGCACUCACAGCCGAAGUGGCUGCUUCUCAUUUCCUGUUGCGUCUCACCUUUCACGCAUACCCCAGAGGAAAACGGCCGCGAUGGAGACGUCCGACUUGGGGUAGGGCCAGGAGAAUAUCGGAGGGAGAGCUCCUCUGGGUCCCCUACACAGAGACGCUGGGGUGCUAACCAAUACUGGUUUUGAGAUGAGGGCUUCCCAGCGGGUGGAAGUCCCAGCUCCUGGUACGUGAGUGUUGGCAGCAGCGUCUUCUGAUGUCGUGGGGUUGAGCUGAGGUUCUGCAGGAGUGGGGCUGGGCCCGUGACCCACAGGGACUGAUGUUCUUUGGGAGAGAAGGCACAGGCAGCCGAGCUCAGGAGGAGGACAGCCCCGUGUAGACGGAAGCAGGGGUCGGAGCUUCGUGGCUGCAGCCAAGGAAUCCCAAGGGCUGGGGGCUGCUGCGGGAGCCGGGAGACAGGCCUGGCACGGCCCCGUCCUGGAGGCAGCCCGGCCCUGCAGACGCCUUGAGGAAUGUGUGGACGUCUGUGCUUCAAAGGCGCCAGGUGUGCGGUAAUCUGGUACGGCGGCCGCAGGAAGUAUCCGGACACCCGGGAAGUCAGCCCAGCUGCGGGGGACACCGCUUGCAGCCCGGACGUCCCGGACUGGAGCGCCAGUUCCAGUCCCGGCUGCUCCACUUCCCAGUCAGCUCCCUGCUAAUGGGCCUGGGAAAGCAGCGGAAGAUGACCCAUGCUUGGACUUCCGCCAUCCGUGUGGGGGACCAGGAUGGAGUUCUUAGCUCCUGGCUUCAUCCUGGCCACUGUGGCCACUUGGGAAGGGAACCAGGGAAUGGAAGAUUCUCUCUAAGUCUGCCUUUCAAAUGUAUAUAUAUAUGUAUAUAUAUAUAUGCACACACACAUAUGUGUAUAUAUAUAGUGAGAGAGAGAGAAGAGAGAGAGAGAGAGAGAACGCUCACCUCGGGGCCGACACUGAGGCCUUUCCUACUCCCAGGUUACUCGUCCUCUGGGUGAUGGCACCAGCAGGGCGAGGCCCAGCAAUGCCCAGCCGGGAGGAGCUGCGCCCGCAGGGGAGCCGAGUCCUAGUGGCAGGGUGAUAGGAACCUCCCUGCUCCCUUGCCCACCGCAUGGAGGAGGACCACGGCUGUAGUAGCUAAGCAAGUAGCCCAGAAGAGUGGAGAGAAAUUAGGAGC